CUCUCAGGCUACAGAUACAGGAUCCAGUACAUAAUGCUCAAAGCAUAAACCCAGAUCAAAUCUCGCUGCAGCAGCAGUAUACAAAGGAGUAGAGAAAAAGCAUGCUGACCGUGCAUUGAAGAGAAGGCACUCGAAAGCCCCUGUUUACCCUUGUUUCAGGCACAAGUACAGUUCUUAGUGCAUGAGUGAUGCAAAAAUAACUGGAGGAUUGCAUCAAGCAUUCAUCCACGGCAAUUUAAAUAAAGAUGAGCUGACGUGAUGGAGAUUAACUGCACUGUAAGAAUGCCUGCAGUGCUCAGCAGAAUGAGGGGCAAGGGAGAAAAAGGACAAGGGGGGGAGUUACACUUCUAGCAAAAGGACAUAUCACUUAGUCCAGCAAAUCAGCAUGCCCAAAAUUUCGUAUUACUGACGUAGAUCUGGCUCUGGCAUGUCUGCAUCAUGCUGUGUAGGCAUUAGGUGCUCUGCAUGUUUAACAUGUGUCUGUAGUCCAGGAGGAAAAUUCUUUCAGUAUAUGAAAGGGAGCUACAGGAAGAAGGGGACAGACUCCUUAGCAAGAUCUGUGAAAGCCAGGGAGAAUUCGGUCAGGCUCUGAAGAAUGAGGAGCUUCCACAGCUGCUGCCCUCAAGCCUUUAUGGACAUCAGAGAGACUGCACGGCCCUAGUUGUCUCACAGAAGUCUGUCUCUCCUGCCCUUUAAUCAUCCUUGAUCCUCUCUGAACUUCCUCCUGUAUGGCUGCAUUCUUUAUUGGUAUGCAUCCGGAGCUAAAUACAGCGUAAAGAGUGCAGAACAGAGCUGUGUUGUAAUGGGUACUCAUUAAAAAUAAAACCCUCUGUCUUUGGACUUUGGUAACCACUGUGUAGCAGAGUUGAUUUACAAAGUUUAUCUGAAAAAGCAAAAUGCACUAUUAUUCAUUUGCAGAUAAAAGUCUGAAAUCUUCUACCUCUAAUUCCUAGAAAAGAGAGGAACAAAAGUAAACUGCCUUGAGUUGCUGCUUGUACCUCAGUUCCACAGGAUGGCAUCUGCCUCUCAGGACACACACAGACCCCUUGGAGUGCUCUGCAGUAUCUCCUGAUGCCUGGCUUGUCCCGCUCGCUCCUUCUAACAUCGCACUGGUCCUGUGCUGUGCAACUGGCCACUCUGACAGCUUUCAUCAUGCCAGAGUUUAUGGCAACUGUAAAUCUAUUAAGCCACAAUUUGCACUUAAUAAAACGAAACAGCAAGCAGUUAAACGAAAGCUCGAUCCUAAACGGGAGAACAUUUUUCAGGAAAAGUCAUUGGGGCUGCCACUGCUACUGCUGCCUGCCUGCCCGCCUUUGAGAAAUUCAAUCGUGCUGACUGAGGGAACCUGGGGAGAGCUGGCUACUCCUUCCUUUGGUUCAUAAUGGCCCCGUAGACCAUUUAAUCAUCCGCGGAUGACACAAAGGCCGUGCUGUGAGCACCGGAUGUGGAGGAAUGCACUUAUCAGAUGCUUCCUGCCCAUGAGUGGGCACGGGUUCAGGCUCAUCCCCAUGUCCCUGUGCUUCAGAGUGUCCCUGCUGUCAGAGCAGAGAGCAGAGCAGAGGGCUGCUGCUGCUCCUCCUGAGUGCUUUUGUUUUCUUACAUCAGGGUGUGCACAAGCAGUGCUUUGGGAGCUGAGCUCAGAGUGUGGAGGGAAGGCCUUGUGCUGCAGGUUUCAGACAGGCCUGGAGGCACCCGCCCUGAGAACACUGGGUGCAGCCUUAGCAGGAGGAGAGGGGCACUGGGAGACAAAGCAGACUUAUUGGUUCCUGUGAAACAGAUUUCUCUGUUGAUGUUAAAAUGACUUCCUCCAUGUCCACGGUUUCACCUCCACUCCAUAUUGUGGCAUUUCUGGGUGACCAAAUGGCUGACCCUGGUUUGUAGGUGAAUAGUCUGGUCAGAAACCGUAUGCCCAGUUUCAUUAACUAGAGAAAAAAAGCCCCAGCCAGGGGAGGCAAUGAGAGCUUGAAAAUUCGAUCCAUCGUACUAAUUGGUUUGGAAUAUUAGCCUUUAGUUUAGAUUGGAAAUCCAUUUCCUCCUGAAUACAGGCAAUUUGUUGACAGCUCGGGCCAUACAUGUAACCAUGUGAAGCUUGACAUGCCAUCCUCAACCCCGAGCCCACGAACGCUGGCAAACACAUUCAAAAUAGCUACAAGAGCUGGUAACUUCUGAGAGGAUGCCUCUGGACACAGAUCUGUGCCCAUUCUUACGAGCAUUCCUCCUGACAAAGUUUUAGGAUUUGCAAUUCAAAAAAGCCACUCGCUGCUGGCUAAUGCCUGCCAAUUAAGUUCAGCCCAUUGAAUCAACAGUUUCCUGUUACCUGUUCCUUCAGGUAGAACAGCGGCUGAUACCCCUGCCCUUUCCCAGGCUUCUGUGCAGGGACCUUUCCUGCCCGAAAACAGUGGGGACACCUGUUUUCUGGGCAGGGAAGGCCAGCACCUGAAAUCCUAGGAAUGGUCCCGCUAUUGAAAGCAGGGGGCUUGAUAAGGCAGCCACUGUGAUAGGCAGCGGAAAUUUGAUGAUGAAAGGAGAUGCCUAAUAGAUUAAUCUGGUGUGAUUUGCCAAAACACAGGGUUUUCUGGAAGAUUAUCCACACUCGCAAUAGGAAGCCCUUUGUUUUGUGAAAGUCCCCACUUAUCAUGGUAUUCUUUAUCUCAACAAGAAACAUAAUGGUUUACUUGUUUACAUGCAUAGCAGAUAUAUUCAGAGCUGGGCUUAGGAACUGUGAACUCCUUUUCAUUUGAAACAUUUCCAGCAGGCAGGUUAUUAGCUGAGGGGGAACAAGCAGUUGGACACACAUAAAAUUUAAAUCUGCCUUGCUUAGAUUGGCAAAAAUGAAUGUUAUUUCAUCCACCGGGAAAAUGUUUUACUUCCUGCUCAAAUACUUUUGGAAGAAAAUCACAAGCUCAUUUGUAGCCAUCAUAUAUGUAUGUAUAUAUUUUUUUAGAGUUAAGUGUUAUGUCUACAGAAACGUAUUUGUUACUGUACACCGGUUAUUUUCCACUAAUAUUAAUUAUUUUAUUAGCUUGUCUUUACUUCUUCAAUUUUACUUUGCUUACUAUAAAAUGUGACUGAUGGCUUUACAUUAUUUAUACUGAAUGUGUGGCUGGAAUCUAG
ensembl:lncRNA